rnacentral:lncRNA from 1 species
AAUACUAAGCAAGCUUAAUCAAAUUCAAAAAAACCUCAAAGAAAUUUCAAACAAACAAUAAGAAUUCUUAAAGAAAUAUUAGAAGCAUGACGAAUAUCACUCAAAUAUAUCUCAAUUCAAUCUUAAUUUAAUUCUAGUUAAAAUCCUAUUGAACUUCAUUAAAACUUUAGGCCAAAACUAAUUGAAUCUUAAAUCCUAAUAAAAUCCUAAACCCUAAAUCAAAUCCUAAACAAAUCUUAAACCAAACCCCAACCAAAUCCUAAACCAAAUCCUAAAUCCUAAAUAAAAUCUUAACUAAAUCCUAAACCAAAUCCUAAUCCAAAUCCUAAAUUCUAAACCAAACUCUAACCAAAUCCUAAACCAAACCCUAAUCCAAACCCUAAUUCGAAUCCUAAAUCCUAAAUCAAACCCUAAUCAAAUUCUAAA